CACACUUAGUGAAAUUUUGCUUUAUACAACGAAUUUUGCGUUAUUCGCUAUUGUCUAAUAUAUAUUAAAAAAUAAUUAAAAAUGCGUGGAAUUUUACUGCAAAGUCCGAAAAAAUUAUGCACUCAAGCUGUUAGAUCCGUAACUUCAACACCACAAGGAACAGAUUAUCAAUACAUGCAAUGUUCCAAACUGCCGACAAUGUAUUUUCAGCGCUCCUUGCCACGUCUUCCUAUACCUACACUAGACAAAACCUGUGAAAGAUUCUUGUCUGCUGUGCAACCUAUACUCAAUGCUGACGAAUUUGCUGCGACUCAAAAAGUGAUAAAGGAGUUUCAUCAGGGAGAAGGUAUGGAUUUGCAUGCAAAGCUAAAACAAAACGAUUUAAACAACAAACACACAAGUUAUAUAUCCGAGCCUUGGUUCGAUAUGUACCUCAGUGACCGUGCGCCACUUCCACUAAAUUAUAAUCCUCUCUUAAUUAUGAAGCAUGAUACACGGCCAGAAUAUCGAUCACAGCUAGUCCGUGCUACGAAUUUGGUUGUGAGUUCAUUAAGAUUUUGGAACUCAUUAAAAGUAGAUCUUUUAGAACCUGAAAUAUUUCAUUUGAAUGCUAAGAAGAGUGACACUCCUCAAUUUAGGCAAUGGAUGCGUAUUGCUCCAACGGCUUUUGCAACAUAUGUUGCUUACGUCUUCAAAGCCUUUCCACUAGAUAUGAGUCAAUACAAUCGUUUAUUUGGUACAUCACGUAUACCUCAAAUGGAUAAAGAUCUUUUAGUGCAAAAUAUUGACUCUAAGCAUAUCAUUGUUAUGAGAAGAGGUAAUCUAUAUGCAGUAGAUGUAUUAAAUCAAAAUGGACAAAUAGAGCAACCUAGCGUAAUAUUAGCGCGGCUUCAAGCAGUACUGAGUCUAGAUAAUAAACGUAAUGCGGCUGAAGUGCCUUUGGGUGUUUUAACUACCGGUUCACGCAAUGAUUGGGCCCGCACACGACAACAUUUAGUAAAGAAUAUAUCAGAAAAAAAUGGAAAGUUGAUAGAAAAUGAAGUGGAUAAGGCAUUAUUUUGUUUGUGUUUGGAUAGUGAGGAAGAUCCAAUUUAUAAUGAUGAUAAUCAGAUACCAUUAAUUAAAAAUUUUCUAGCUGGCGAAGGAAAAAAUCGCUGGUUUGAUAAAUCUAUCUCAUUACUUGUGGGUGCUGAUGGCACGGCAGCAGUCAAUUUUGAACACUCUUGGGGCGAUGGAGUAGCAGUUCUACGUUAUUUCAAUGAAAUUUACAAAGAAACAUUACAGCGGCCGUUUGUUAGCAGUGCCACCAUUCCAGAAAGUUUGAAUAAUGAUCACAGUGUGCGUUCCUUAAAUUUUGAUAUAGAUGAUAAGUUGCGUGCGGAUGUCGCAUUGGCUUCAUCAAAAAAUUCUGAUGUUAUGGAAACUCUGAAUAUGGAUAUGCUACGUUAUUCGCAUAUAAAUAAAUUAUCUUGCAAAAAAUAUGGAGUAAGCCCAGAUUCUAUUAUGCAGUUGUCAUUUCAGCUAGCCUACAAGUUGGCAUUUAAUUCCUAUGUCGGUACAUAUGAAUCUUGUAGUACAGCUGCAUUUCGACACGGUCGUACGGAAACUAUGCGCCCAUGUACAAUUCCAACUAAAAACUUUUGCGAAGCAAUUUUAAAACCAACUAACAGUAGACCUGACUCUAAUGAAUUACGAACUAUGAUCGAUAAGUGUUCUACGGUGCAUGGAAAUUUAACAAAAGAAGCUGCAAUGGGUCAAGGAUUCGAUAGACAUUUAUUUGCUUUAAAGCAUGAGGCAGUUAAGCAGAAUAAAACUAUACCUGAAUUGUACAAUACCGAGGCAUAUAGAAAAAUUAAUUAUAACAUUAUAAGCACAUCCACAUUGUCUUCCGAUGCAUUAUUAGCAGGUUCUUUUGGACCAGUUGUGCAGGAUGGAUUAGGUGUUGGCUAUUCGAUACAAAAUGCAGAAUGCGGUGCUAUAGUUUCUUCCUAUAAAAAUCAAAGGAAUGGUAAACAUUUUGUAGAUUGCUUGGGUCAAGCAUUCAGCGAAAUUCAUAAAACGCUCGAUGCUAGUAAAAAAUGAGAUUAAGUCUUAAAUGUUCUUCAAGCACGCAGAAAUCGUGAAUAUGAAAUGGACUGGUGAUGUGCAUAUGAUUUAGUAUCGAGAAGAUUAAAGUUACCUUGAUGAGAAUACAUAUAUGUUGUCGCUUUCAGAUCACAGAACAAAAACGCUUUGAUAAUGUUAUUGCCACAGACUGCAAACUGCUUUUAUUGAAAGAGGUAAAAAAAAAUAUAGGAGACAACAAGAAGACCAGGAAAGAAAUAAUCCAUGCUAAUAUGGAUUUGAAAAAUAUAUAUUGGUGAUACAUCCAACACUUUUAAGGAUUCAUAGAAACACGUAUAUCGAAUAUGCAUAAAACAUUUUCACAAAAGGAUAAUACAAUAAUUUCAA